AUUGAACGCUAGCGGGAUGCUUUACACAUGCAAGUCGAACGGCAGCACGGACUUCGGUCUGGUGGCGAGUGGCGAACGGGUGAGUAAUAUAUCGGAACGUGCCCAGUAGCGGGGGAUAACUACGCGAAAGCGUAGCUAAUACCGCAUACGCCCCAUGGGGGAAAGCGGGGGACCUUCGGGCCUCGCACUAUUGGAGCGGCCGAUAUCGGAUUAGCUAGUUGGUGGGGUAAAGGCUCACCAAGGCGACGAUCCGUAGCUGGUUUGAGAGGACGACCAGCCACACUGGGACUGAGACACGGCCCAGACUCCUACGGGAGGCAGCAGUGGGGAAUUUUGGACAAUGGGGGAAACCCUGAUCCAGCCAUCCCGCGUGUGCGAUGAAGGCCUUCGGGUUGUAAAGCACUUUUGGCAGGAAAGAAACGGUUCCGGAUAAUACCUGGAGCAACUGACGGUACCUGCAGAAUAAGCACCGGCUAACUACGUG
rnacentral:rRNA from 1 species